rnacentral:misc_RNA from 1 species
GAUGAAGAACGCAGCGAAAUGCGAUAAGUAAUGUGAAUUGCAGAAUUCAGUGAAUCAUCGAAUCUUUGAACGCAUCUUGCGCUCCUUGGUAUUCCUUGGAGCAUGCCUGUUUGAGUAUCAUGAGCAAAUCUCAAAGUCAAUUCCUUUUGUUAAUUCAAUUGGUUUUGCUUUGGACUUGGAGGUCUUGCAGAUUUCACAGUCUGCUCCUCUUAAAUGCAUUAGCUGGAUCUCAGUAAUUAUGCUUGGUUCCACUCGGCGUGAUAAGUAUCACUCGCUGAGGACACUGUUAAAAAGGUGGCCAGGAAAAUACUGAUUGAACCGCUUAACGGUCUAUUAAGUUAGACAAUUACCCUUAAGUUUGAUCUCAAAUCAGGUAGGACUACCCGCUGAACUUAAGCAUAUCAAUAAGCGGAGGA